rnacentral:rRNA from 1 species
GUGCAGUUCGAACGGCAGCGCGAGAGAGCUUGCUCCUCCUUGGCGGCGAGUGGCGGACGGGUGAGUAAUAUAUCGGAACGUGCCCAGUAGCGGGGGAUAACUACUCGAAAGAGUGGCUAAUACCGCAUACGCCCUACGGGGGAAAGGGGGGGAUCGCAAGACCUCUCACUAUUGGAGCGGCCGAUAUCGGAUUAGCUAGUUGGUGGGGUAAAGGCUCACCAAGGCAACGAUCCGUAGCUGGUUUGAGAGGACGACCAGCCACACUGGGACUGAGACACGGCCCAGACUCCUACGGGAGGCAGCAGUGGGGAAUUUUGGACAAUGGGGGAAACCCUGAUCCAGCCAUCCCGCGUGUAUGAUGAAGGCCUUCGGGUUGUAAAGUACUUUUGGCAGAGAAGAAAAGGUAUCUCCUAAUACGAGAUACUGCUGACGGUAUCUGCAGAAUAAGCACCGGCUAACUACGUGCCAGCAGCCGCGGUAAUACGUAGGGUGCAAGCGUUAAUCGGAAUUACUGGGCGUAAAGCGUGUGUAGGCGGUUCGGAAAGAAAGAUGUGAAAUCCCAGGGCUCAACCUUGGAACUGCAUUUUUAACUGCCGAGCUAGAGUAUGUCAGAGGGGGGUAGAAUUCCACGUGUAGCAGUGAAAUGCGUAGAUAUGUGGAGGAAUACCGAUGGCGAAGGCAGCCCCCUGGGAUAAUACUGACGCUCAGACACGAAAGCGUGGGGAGCAAACAGGAUUAGAUACCCUGGUAGUCCACGCCCUAAACGAUGUCAACUAGCUGUUGGGGCCGUUAGGCCUUAGUAGCGCAGCUAACGCGUGAAGUUGACCGCCUGGGGAGUACGGUCGCAAGAUUAAAACUCAAAGGAAUUGACGGGGACCCGCACAAGCGGUGGAUGAUGUGGAUUAAUUCUAUGCAACGCGAAGAACCUUACCUACCCUUGACAUGUCUGGAAAGCCGAAGAGAUUUGGCCGUGCUCGC